rnacentral:misc_RNA from 1 species
CCCGGGGGCCAAUCGUCAUUUGAUUAGCCAUGCAGCACCUGUGCAGGGCCCCGAAGGACACGGGCUUUCACCCGCUUUACCCUGCAUGUCAAGCCCAGGUAAGGUUCUUCGCGUUGCAUCGAAUUAAGCCACAUGCUCCGCCGCUUGUGCGGGUCCCCGUCAAUUCCUUUGAGUUUUAGCCUUGCGGCCGUACUCCCCAGGCGGGGUGCUUAAUGCGUUAGCUUCGGCACGGAGAGGGUUGAAGACCUCCCCACACCUAGCACCCAACGUUUACGGCUGGGACUAC